GUAGUAUGAUAGGGAUUACCUGUUACCAGUCGAGCUAAAAAAUUUCAGAAUUCCAACCGAGCUAAAACCAUUUAGCCUUUCCAUCAAGGUAAAAAACCCUUUUAGCCUUUCCAGUCGGGCUAAAAACCAUUUUAGCCUUUCCAGGCGAGUAAAAAACCCUUUUAGCCUUUCCAACCGGGCUAAAAACCAUUUUAGCCUUUCCAGCCGAGCUAAAUUCACACCGGGCUGUAUCUGUCCGGUCAAAACGUCUCUUCAAUCACAGCAACUGAAUCACUUCUCAUUCCUAUGACACGUGGCCCCCUCUGAUUGGCCCAAUGAAGCUGUCACGCCGUCUUCGUACUCCGUGAAUUUUGAACAGUUCCCGCCUCUGGUCCUUCUAUCAAAACAAAACUCUUUGUUUUUUCGAAUCACUCACCACACUAUUCAUUUCCUCAUCUCUCUCUUUCGUUCCUGAACUUCUUCAACCCUGAAUUUGCUGAGUUCGUGUUCUUCAUUGCCAUUGCUUCCAUCUCUGAUUUCUUCCUCUUAACCUGGUAAGUUUACUCAAAUCUGCCUUGUUUUUGUUGUUUUCGCAUUUACUUUUACAAUACAUGUAUUUUUUGUGUUUUUUCAAAACACAUACCUUUCUUUCGUGUAAUAAAACCUCUGGCUUGUCACGAAUAAACUGAAAAACACUGAUUUUGAUCCAAAAUCAUAGUAUAACCGAACUAAAAAGUCGUUUGUAGUUGAUGUCAUUCUAGGCAGACCAUUCAACCGAACUAACACUUCACGUUAUGCCAUUAGUUUUAACAAGUCAAACCACCUUUUGUUUUAACUCAGCCGAGCUAGAAAUUCGCACUAAGUCUGCGUAAUAGUGCGUCUGUUAGUCUCAACCACGGCCGAGCUAUAACUUGGGGCUAACCCAGCCUUCGUAGUUCAGACCGAACUAAGAGCGCUGCCCUCUGAUGCUCAACCGGACUAACAAAUCCCUUGCUAAAACCGAGCUAACAGACCAUUUGCUCAAACCGAGCUAAGACAUGAAGCAUUUCGCAUAGCAGAGCUAGGACUUCAUUUAUCUUGCCGUUAUUUCUUCUUAGCACGGUCCCACGAUCUGUGCGUAACACCCUUGUUUUUUACCUUGCAGACUUAGGUUGCCCAGGCAUUCCCUUGAGCGCUCAACCGAGCUACUCAGAAUCAUUUUCCCACCGAGCUAACACCUACAUAUAAUUUAUUCAUAACAAACCACAAAUGGGAAAGUAUAGGUUUUUAGUUGACUCUCCUGGCGCAAUGGCUAAAUUUCGCAAGGACUACCAAAUCCCAGAUGAUGUCCACCUUUCACUGGCCGAGCUAGACACCAUCCCUUGGGGAAAGCAAGGUUUUGUCCCUUUUAAUGUUAUUUCAAUCGUAGAGUGCGGUCUACGUUUCCCCGUACAGCCCCUCCUCUAUGAAUUCCUUAGGCAAACCAAACUCUGUCCUACCCAACUUUUCACUAAUUCCUACCGUAUAAUAAACGGCAUUGCCGCGCUAAACGAUCGGGCUGGUCUUAACCUCGGGCUAGCAGAACUCUUCCACCAAUAUUCUAUAGGAUCCGCCGAAGAUGGAUGGGUCUAUUAUUUAAGAAUAAGACGUCAGCGUGAAAAGAUAAUAAAAGAUACUCCGGGCAAAGAUGUGAACGACGACGAUUUCUUCUGAGUAUCUAGGAAUUUUGAGGACCAACAAGCCCAGAUCCCUGGUGACAGAAUAAACUGGAACAAGGGGGUAUCGACUCAAACUUCCUCAAGUCACAGUAUAGCUACCCUAACCUAGCUACACUUCGUGCCGCGCUUCGAUAUCCAAGCCGAAGUUGGACCGAGCUAUUGAAUUUCCAGCCGACCUAUCGAUACAGUGGCAAGCGAAAGACCAAGGUAACUGAUUUCUUGUUGGAGACUUCGCCUGAACCGGACCCAACCUUGCCCCAAAUCAGAUUAAUCCCUUUAACGGCUGAGCAAGAGAUGGCCAAGAAGAGAGCCGUGCGAGCCCUUCUGACUGAAACAAAUCCGACCGAGGUACCGCCAGCUGGUCAAACUCAAGAAACCGUAGUAGCUCUGCCUUCUCAACAACCUUCAUCAUCUCGCCCGAAGAAGCGUGCCCAGACUACCCAAACCAAGCAACGUCUUGUUGAUAAAGAUGAAACCGUGGUUCCUUAAACUACUCUGCCAAGCCCUCCACCGAGCCCAAAACUGGAGCGCUCUGACCGAGCUACCUCCUCUAAGUGGGCUCCAAAAAUCACCUUUCAGAAUCGUGCUAUCACGGAUUCGGACUCAGUGGUCACAGAAAAAGACCACCUGAUGGCCUUCAACUUGGCUAAAGGUGUUUGUCUUCCAGCCGACAUGAGGCACCACAACCAUCUAACCGAGCUGAAGGCCCUUCGCUCGUCCACAAAAUCCAUGGUGCUGGCCAUACAGAAAAACCAUAUCGCUCACAAGCGAGUGUUAGAACUUAGGAAAACAACAAGGCAAGCCAUGACAGAAGCUGAAGCCAAAACGGCCGAGCUAAAAGCAUCUCAACAGAAGACCGCCGAGCUAGAGGCCGAGGUCACCCGUCUGACCGGACUAGUUACCUCGGCUAAUGCUGAUAAACAAAGGUCCCUGACACUGAUGAAAGACAAAUACCUUUGUGAGCUGGCCAAGCUCGAAGGAAAAAAGAAGGCCGAAAUAACGGAGCUUGAGAAAAAGUUGGAGGCUACAGAGGACUGGGGCUUUAAAGAGGGUGAAGCCCUAUACAUUAAGCAGUGUGAAGCUGCAAAGGAUCUCUUUUUUAAAUGCGGGUGGAGGGGUGCUGUGGUGCAGCUCGGUCAUGGGCCUGAGACCGAGGUCUUCAAUCCUCCUCAAUACUUUAUACCGAGCUCACUGGCGGAGUAUGCUGCUACCACUCAGUAACAGUUUCUUGAAGAUUCAGAUGAAGAAGAAACCGUGCCCAACGAUACCCCGGUUGUCAAUGAUCCCGCCUGUCAUUCGGCUCGGUCGCAGCCAACGGUGGAAGAUUUGACUGUCGAACUACCAACUGAAACCGUGCUUCCAACCGAGACCAUACUCCCGACCGAAACCGAGCUUCCAACUGAAUCUGGGCUGCGAGUUGAACUUGAUGCGGAUCUUGAUGAUUUGUUUGCCUGACUUUGCCUUCUUCUUCUUCUUGCUUGAUUUCUGUAUUUUUUUUUUUUGCUGGACACAAAUUGUAACCGGGCUGGGGCCCCUCCUUUGUAUUCGCUUUGAACUUGCCAAUGAAAAUCUUCUUUUUGUUCCAACUCUCAUUUCGGUUGAUCUCUAUACUUGUAUUUUACUUUCUGAUUGAAGUCUUGGAUGAGGUAUAGCAAUCGCUUGCCGAGAUACUUUAUAUUGGUCUUUAACAUUUGCAACUUAUAAGUACACCUGCCAAUCAUUCUUUAGCCGAGAUCCCUACCUCGGCUGAAGAAUACUUAAAGUUGGUUUUAAUCCAGCCAACUGCUCUUUAGCCGACGUCCUCACUUCGGCUGACGAGUACCAAGAGUUGGUUUUGUCCAGCCAACCACUCUCUAGCCGAUAUCUUUACUUCGGCUGAGGAGUACUAAGUGUUGGUUUAGUCCAGCCAACCACUC